UACAGAGGUCUCAAGCGUUGUUCGGAUUCAUUGGGCGUAAAGGGUGCGUAGGCGGCGCGGUAAGUCGGGUGUGAAAUCUCGGAGCUUAACUCCGAAACUGCAUUCGAUACUACCGUGCUUGAGGACUGGAGAGGAGACUGGAAUUUACGGUGUAGCGGUGAAAUGCGUGGAUAUCGUAAGGAAGACCAGUGGCGAAGGCGGGUCUCUGGACAGUUCCUGACGCUGAGGCACGAAGGUCAGGGGAGCAAACGGG
rnacentral:rRNA from 1 species